GACGAACGCUGGCGGCGUGCUUAACACAUGCAAGUCGAACGGAAAGGCCUGCUUUCCCUUGUGGAUUGCGGGUACUCGAGUGGCGAACGGGUGAGUAACACGUGAGUGAUCUGCCCCCAACUUGGGUAUAAGCCUGGGAAACUGGGUCUAAUUCCCGAUAGGACUGCAGGGUGGUGCCUGUGGUGGAAAACGAUUUUCUAGUGGUUGGGGAUGAGCUCGCGGCCUAUCAGCUUGUUGGUGGGGUAAUGGCCUACGAAGGCGGCGACGGGUAGCCGGCCUGGGAGGGUGGACGGGCGCAGGGGGACUGAGAUACGGCCAAGACGACUACGGGAGGCAGCAGUGGGGAGUAAGGAGCAAGGGGCGGAAGCCUGAGGCAGCGACGCCGCGGGGGGGAUGACGGGCUUCGGGUGGUAAACUCCUUUCGACCGCGAGGAAGCCACCUGGUUGGAAGGGUGGUGACGGUAGUGGGAGAAGAAGCACCGGCUAACUACGUG
rnacentral:rRNA from 1 species